GAGUUUGAUCAUGGCUCAGGAUGAACGCUGGCGGCGUGCUUAACACAUGCAAGUCGAACGAACCUUCGGGUUAGUGGCGGACGGGUGAGUAACACGUGGGAAUCUGCCCUCAGGAGGGGGAUAACGGUUGGAAACGACCGCUAAUACCCCAUAUGCCGAGAGGUGAAAUGAAUUUCGCCUGAGGAUGAGCCCGCGUCUGAUUAGCUUGUUGGUGAGGUAAUGGCUCACCAAGGCAUCGAUCAGUAGCUGGUCUGAGAGGAUGAUCAGCCACACUGGGACUGAGACACGGCCCAGACUCCUACGGGAGGCAGCAGUGGGGAAUUUUCCGCAAUGGGCGAAAGCCUGACGGAGCAACGCCGCGUGAGGGACGAAGGCCUCUGGGCUGUAAACCUCUUUUCUCAAGGAAGAAGAUAUGACGGUACUUGAGGAAUAAGCCACGGCUAAUUCCGUGCCAGCAGCCGCGGUAAUACGGGAGUGGCAAGCGUUAUCCGGAAUUAUUGGGCGUAAAGCGUCCGCAGGCGGCUUUUCAAGUCUGCUGUUAAAACGUGGAGCUCAACUCCAUCAUGGCAGUGGAAACUGAUUGGCUUGAGUAUGGUAGGGGCAGAGGGAAUUCCCGGUGUAGCGGUGAAAUGCGUAGAUAUCGGGAAGAACACCAGUGGCGAAGGCGCUCUGCUGGGCCAUUACUGACGCUCAUGGACGAAAGCCAGGGGAGCGAAAGGGAUUAGAUACCCCUGUAGUCCUGGCCGUAAACGAUGAACACUAGGUGUCGGGGGAAUCGACCCCUUCGGUGUCGUAGCUAACGCGUUAAGUGUUCCGCCUGGGGAGUACGCACGCAAGUGUGAAACUCAAAGGAAUUGACGGGGGCCCGCACAAGCGGUGGAGUAUGUGGUUUAAUUCGAUGCAACGCGAAGAACCUUACCAGGGCUUGACAUCCUGCGAACCUCUAAGAAAUUAGAGGGUGCCUUCGGGAACGCAGUGACAGGUGGUGCAUGGCUGUCGUCAGCUCGUGUCAUGAGAUGUUCGGUUAAGUCCGGUAACGAGCGCAACCCUUAUCCUCAGUUACCUUUUAGGAACCUGAGGAGACUGCCGGUGUUAAGCCGGAGGAAGGUGAGGACGACGUCAAGUCAUCAUGCCCCUUAUGCCCUGGGCUACUAACGUGCUACAAUGGAUAGGACAAUGGGAUGCCACCCUGCGAAGGCGAGCUAACCCCAAAAACCUAUUCUUAGUUCGGAUUGUAGGCUGCAACUCGCCUACAUGAAGCUGGAAUCGCUAGUAAUCGCUGGUCAGCUAUACAGCGGUGAAUACGUUCUCGGGUCUUGUACACACCGCCCGUCACACCAUGGAAAUUGGCUAUACCCAAAAUCGUGACCCUAACCUUUGGAUGGGAGCGCUUAAGGUAGAGCCAGUAACUAGGGUGAAGUCGUAACAAGGUAACC
rnacentral:rRNA from 1 species